rnacentral:rRNA from 1 species
AAUAGCCUAAAGGCUGAACCAGCAAUUUGGAGGAAUGUAAGGGAAGUAAGCUGUUAAAAAGCUUUUUCCUAGUGGUUUAUCCACAUAAAAUUCUAGAUAAAAUACUGAUAAUGACAACUUUUUAUCUACAAGUCUUGACAAAGUCACGUGCCAGCAGUCGCGGUAAUACGGGAGAGACUAGUGUUAUUCAUCUUUAAUAGGUUUAAAGGGUACCUAGACGGUUUAUUUCACCUUUAUAUACAUGAGGUUAAAUUUAAGCUAGAGUUUUAUAUGAGAGGACUAUUAGUACUUAUGGAGAAGAGAUAAAAUUCUAUGAUACUGUAAGGCACUGGUAACGGCGAAAGCAAUCCUCUAUCUAAAAACUGACGUUGAGGGACGAAGGCGUGGGUAGCGAAUAGGAUUAGAUACCCUAAUAGUCCACGCAGAAAAUGAUGAGUGUCAUAGAUUAGAAUGUUUUGAUCUAUAAACGAAAGUGUAAGCAUUCCACCUCAAGAGUAAUGCGGCAACGCAGAAACUGAAAUCAUUAGACCGUAUCUGAAACCAGUAGUGAAGUAUGUUAUUUAAUUCGAUAAUCCGCGAAAAAUCUUACCACAAUUUGUAUAUUACAUAGUACUAUAAAAAUAUACUUGUAAUACAGGUGCUGCACGGCUGUCUUUAGUUAAUGUCGUGAGAUAUAGGUUAGCUCCAUUAAAUUAACGCAAACCCUUAUAUCAUUUACAAAUGAUGUAGUUCCCCAUUAUAUUGGAAAGACAACUGGGAUCAAGGCAAGUACUCGUGGUCUUAAUAUUG